rnacentral:rRNA from 1 species
GACGAACGCUGGCGGCGUGCCUAACACAUGCAAGUCGAACGGAGAAGUUCAGCAAUGGAUUUCUUAGUGGCGAACGUGUGAGUAACGCGUAGACAACCUGCCUCUAAGCUGGGGACAACAACUCGAAAGGGUUGCUAAUACCGAAUGUGAACAGUGCCUCGCAUGAGAUGCUGUUUGAAGGUGGCCUCUGAAUAUGCUACCGCUUAGAGAUGGGUCUGCGUCUGAUUAGCUAGUUGGAGGGGUAAUGGCCCACCAAGGCGACGAUCAGUAGCCGGUCUGAGAGGAUGAACGGCCACACUGGGACUGAGACACGGCCCAGACUCCUACGGGAGGCAGCAGUGGGGAAUCUUCCGCAAUGGACGAAAGUCUGACGGAGCAACGCCGCGUGAGUGAAGAAGGCCCUCGGGUCGUAAAGCUCUGUCUUCAGGGACGAAUGUGCAGAUUGUGAAUAAAGUACUGUAAUGACGGUACCUGACGAGGAAGCCACGGCUAACUACGUGCCAGCAGCCGCAGUAA